AUUCAGCUGACGAGUCCCAAAUAGGACAAAACACGCGUCCUGGAU
rnacentral:hammerhead_ribozyme from 1 species